GUGGGGAAUAUUGGACAAUGGGCGCAAGCCUGAUCCAGCCAUGCCGCGUGAGUGAUGAAGGCCCUAGGGUUGUAAAGCUCUUUCACCGGUGAAGAUAAUGACGGUAACCGGAGAAGAAGCCCCGGCUAACUUCGUGCCAGCAGCCGCGGUAAUACGAAGGGGGCUAGCGUUUUUCGGAAUUACUGGGCGUAAAGCGCACGUAGGCGGGUAUUUAAGUCAGGGGUGAAUUCCCGGAGCUCAACUCCGGCACUGCCUUUGAUACUGGGUACCUAGAGUAUGGAAGAGGUAAGUGGAAUUCCGAGUGUAGAGGUGAAAUUCGUAGAUAUUCGGAGGAACACCAGUGGCGAAGGCGGCUUACUGGUCCAUUACUGACGCUGAGGUGCGAAAGCGUGGGGAGCAAACAGGAUUAGAAACCCCGGUAGUCC
rnacentral:rRNA from 1 species